rnacentral:rRNA from 1 species
GUGAAAUUGUUGAAAGGGAAACGCUUGAAACCAGUCAUGCGGUUGGGAAAUCAGUCUCUGACGGGGGGGAAUGGGGGAGUUGUGGACCGCAAGGCCGCUCUUUUUCAUAUUUCUUUUGGCAGGGAUGCACUUUUUCUUCUGCAGGUCAACAUCAGUUUGCUUUGCCGGACAAAACUUGGGGGAAGGUGACAGCUUAGGCUGUGUUAUAGCCCUCGAGCGAUACGGUGGAGCGGACUGAGGUUUUCGCAGCAUGUGCUCUCGGGCAAGGCUGAUUGGGUGCUAUGAGAUCGUUCAGGGUACAAUACAUGUAUUUUGCUCUGUGUCUUUUUUAUACUCGCUCAACUCGGCUCUUCCAUGCUUAGGAUGUUGACAUAAUGGUUUUAAUCGACCCGUCUUGAAACACGGACCAAGGAGUCUAACAUAUAUGCAAGUGUUUGGGUGGCAAACCCAUGCGCGUAAUGAAAGUGAACGUAGGUGCGAUCCGCAAGGUGCAGCAUCGACCGAUCUUGAUAUUUUUGGAUAGAUUUGAGUAAGAGCAUAUAUGCUGGGACCCGAAAGAUGGUGAACUAUGCCUGAAUAGGGUGAAGCCAGAGGAAACUCUGGUGGAGGCUCGUAGCGAUUCUGACGUGCAAAUCGAUCGUCAAAUUUGGGUAUAGGGGCGAAAGACUAA